AAGGAUUUCAUGAAUGAGAGUAAGCUUAUGGAUCUACUUAAUGGCUCUGAAUAUUUCCAACCUAUGAAGAUAAAGAUGGCGACUGGAUGCUUGUUGGUGAUGUCCCUGGGAGAUGUUUAUCGAAUCAUGUAAAGGUUACAUAUGAAAGGAACAAAAGCAAUCGGACUCGCACCAAAAGCCCUAGAGAAAUGCAAGAACAGAAGCUGAAGGCAGUGACGGCAGCUGAUAAUAUUAAUGUUAUUAAUGGAGUGAUUUUGUGUUAAAGUUUAGUAUUUGUUAUGGACAAAAAACAUAAUGGAGUGUUAGUGUAUGUCGUGGAUCAGGAAAACACUUGCUUAUUGUUUAGUAGCUCUACAUUAUUAUAUGACUUGCUUGUUAGAAUAAA